rnacentral:lncRNA from 1 species
UUUUUUUUUAACAUUUAUUUAUUUAUGUAUCUUUAGCUUUAGGCGGACACACUAUUUUGAUUUUAUGUGGUGCUGAGGAUCGAAGCCAGUGCCUCACGCCUGCUAGGCGAGCGCCUACCAUGAGCCCCAGCCCCAGCCCCAAGAGAGCAUUUCUGAUGGUGACAAAUGGCAUGAACUGAGGAAUGUGACAGAAAGGGGCUGAAGGGCGGUUAGGGAAGGCAAGUCAGAGAGGGUGACCCCUGACACACAGUGGUGCUGGGGACAGAGGGAGGUAGAGGGUCACACGCGCCAGGCAGCUCUCUGGCCCUGAAGGUGACAUCGGAAUGCUGGACUGCAAGAACCGAAAACGCACCUAAAAGUGGUCUAACCAUAGAGGAAGUUUAUUAUCUCACUUAACGAAGAGGUUCAAGGUACGGUGGUUUUGGAGCGUGCAUAAUUAAACAGCUCAGCAACCCCAUCAAAGAGCCAGGCUCCUGGGCUGGGGAUGUGGCUCAGGGGUCGAAUGCUAACCUAGCAUGCAUCGAGGCCCAUGUUCAAUCCCCAGUACCACAGACAGCAACAGAAACAGACCCAGGGUCCUUCUCUCUUUUCUCUGUUGAUCUUAAUCCAUCCAUCACUCCUCUUGAGGUUACAAAAUGGCUGCAGCAACUCCAGGCAUCACAUUGCCAUACGAAAGACCAGAAAAGAGAGGAAGGAGUUUCCCUUUCUUACAUCCCUUUUAUGGAAGUAGGAAAAUUUCCCUUUAAUCUCCCUGGCAGGCUUUCUCUCACAUCUCUUUGAUCAGUACAAGGCACACCCUUUCCUGAACCUGUCCUAUGCAAGAGGAAUGGAGUUAGCAGUGCCACCAAUUUAUUGAAAGAAUAAACGAGAAUCUUUGGUCAGAAGGCCAAGACCAAGACCACAGAACAAAUUACUACAUUGUGUGUGUGUGUGUGUGUGUGUGUGUGUUACCAGGGAUUGAACCUAGGGGCCCUCAACCACUGAACCACAUCCCAAGCCCUUUUUAUUUCUUAUUUUGAGACAGCGACUCACUAAGCUAUUUUAUGGCCUCACUAAGUUGCUGAGGCUGGCCUCCAAUUUGCCAUCCUCCUGUCUCAGCCUUCCAAGUCACUAGGAUUACAGGCAUGCGCCCCUGCACUGGAC